CUCCUGUCCUAACACAAUGCAUAGAAAAAAUACUUGAUAAAACCUCACUGAAUGAAUGAAUGUCAAAGGCUGAAUUCAUGAAUUCUAGGGACGUGUUCUACAAUAGUAAUGAUGAUGAUGCUUCUAGGACACUGCAAUCUCUCCCUCAUAAGUGAGCACCUCGGAUUUAACUGUCCAGCAUCAUUUGGAGCACAGGGCGGAGGAUUAUACCGAGGAACCACACCCAUGUCAUUUGAAUUGUCCACAAGACCACUAUAAGGACUUUCCAGGACCAUCACAAGGCUGCAAACCGCAUUUGAAGUGCUGCUUCUGGGGCAUUCUUUCCAAAGAGCCUUUUAGCAGGGCAGGGAGUGAAAGGUGAGGACAAGCCUAGGAAAUACAUAAUCCAAGGCUAGGGAGAUAGAAGCUUAAUAUUUACUGCCGUGCCUGGGAAAAGUGAGGCUUGUCGUUGUCAUCUGGGCAAUUCUCCCUCGGACUAGCUCCUCUCUGUGGCCUCCUGGGGUAACUAAUGUCUUCCAGCAGCACUUCUUGCUCCAGGAAUCUGGAAUCUUAGCUGAGUGCUAUGAAGACGGUUCUGAUUAAUUGAUACACUUAAGGUAUGCACUAUCGGUUGCUAUCCUAAUCCUCCCAGGAGAUUACCUUUUCAAAGCGCUGGAAGAUUAACGAGAAUUUCAGAUGCCGUAGCAAUUUGAAGGGAAAAAAUUGUGGCCUCCACAGUGCCAGCUUGCCUGCCAUGAGGGAGACAUAUUUGAGAGUCCUUCAGCUCCCUGUGGGCUGUACAUCCAAGCAAGAAAGUCCAGAUCUUGCAUCUGAGUUGGCAACUGAAGGAAGAGACCUUGAAUCAGCACAGCAGUCAGAAUUCUGCUUGAGGGCAGCUUUGCUGAAACUAAAAGGAACAACUUUAUCUAGAACAGUCUCUCUGCACAUUCGCUUUCCCCUGUGGCAGUUGCGAUGUUAGAUUAAGUCUAUGUAUAUGUAGGGCAGAAGCGAAGUGCAGGAGGGGGUGGAGAGAAUGAUGGGAAAGAAAAGGCUCCUUCUAAACACACAUGUAUGUCAGCAUUACCAGGUGCUCUGCUGAAACCGGUAGGAUGAACACCUUCCGAACAGGCUGCAUUCCUCCCGAGGAAACUGAAGAGUGUAACCUCACAGUGAAAUUCCCCCCAAGUCUUUGGCUCUGCAGGAAGCUUCUGGCUAUUUUUCAGGAGAUGCGUUUGCUGCAGGAGGAGCAGGACUUCCUUUCAAAGGAGCAAUUGGGCCGGGCCCGGUAGCUCACGCCUAAAAUCCCAGCACUUUGGGAGGCCGAGGUGGGCUGAUUACUUGAGUUCAGGAGUUCAAGAUCAGCCUGGACAACAUGGUGAAACCCCAUCUCUACUAAAAAUACAAAAAUCAGCCAGGCAUGGUGGUACGUGCCUGUAAUACCAACUCCUCAGGAGGCUGAGGCAGGAAGACCACUUGAGCCAGGAGCCAAAGGUUGGUCACCAGUGAGCCGAGAUCAACCACUGCACUCCAGCCUGGAGAACAGAGAAAUACCCUGUCUCAAAAAAUAAAAAAUAAAAAAGUGCAACUGAUUUCAUUCCGGAAGAAGCUCCUCAAUUCCUCCUACUUCUGCUGCUUGGCAGGGCCCUUGGUGUCCUCUACCUUUUCUCUUCACCUUCAUCUGCCAAUCUCUGGGCACCCUCUCCCUCAUCAGUGAAGACUUUGGUCUCUCACUCAGCCUCUCAGUUUUGCUCAAUAAAAAUGUGCUGCAUGAGCGAGCUGAGAUCGCGCCACUGCACUCCAGCCUGGGUGACAGAGUGAAACUCCGUCAAAAAAAAAAAAAAGUGCCACAUGAAUGAAUGAAUGCUGUGUUCUUUCCAACCCAAACAUCUGCCUCAGGAGCUGCCAUGUUCUUCCAUGAAUUCCACCUCCCCAGUUGAUUUUUCCAGGGGAUGGGUAAGAGUCAAAGUCCUCCCCAGACUUUUUCAUCCUGGAACCAAGAAAGGCGGUCAGUGUAUCUCCAGUGUAAAAGCUAAGAUGUCAUUCACCAGGGCUGGCAGCAGCCCUACUUACCACCUUGGGAGGAAGCUGCCUGCAGUGACAGAGGACAGAGU
rnacentral:lncRNA from 1 species